CCUAUAAGGCUAGAGCGUGAUAGGUAAGCGAAAUCUUAGGAAAGUAGCGAAGCACAUGAUGACGGCUUCCAGGAAAAGCUUCUGGCAAUGCAUAUGCGGCCCGUACCAAAACCGACACAGGUGGGCAGGGAGAGAAUCCCGAGGUGAGCGAGAGAACUGUUGCCAAGGAACUCGGCAAAAUGACUCCGUAAGUUAGCGAGAAGGAGUGCUUAAGCAAUUAAGCCGCAGUGAAGAGGCCCAAGCGACUGUUUAACUAAAACACAGCUCUCUGCGAAGUCGCAAGACGAAGUAUAGGGGGUGACACCUGCCCGGUGCUGGAAGGUUAAGAGGAUCUGUUUAGAGCAAUCUGAAGCAGUGAUCCGAAGCCCCAGUGAACGGCGGCCGUAACUAUAACGGUCCUAAGGUAGCGAAAUUCCUUGUCAGGUAAGUUCUGACCCGCACGAAAGGUGUAACGAUUUGGGCGCUGUCUCGGCAGCAGACUCGGUGAAAUCUUAGUACCUGUGAAAAUGCAGGUUACCCGCAACUAGACGGAAAGACCCCAUGGAGCUUUACUGCAGCCUGAUAUUGAAUUCUGGUCAUACAUGUACAGGAUAGGUGGGAGACAAAGAGACGUGCACGCCAGUGUACGAGGAGUCGACGUUGGGAUACCACUCUUGUGUGACCGGGGUUCUAACCUGGUAUCGAAAACAGGUACGGGGAGAGUGUCAGGUGGGCAGUUUGACUGGGGCGGUCGCCUCCCAAAGAGUAACGGAGGCGCCCAAAGGUACGCUCAGAUUGGAUGGAAACCAAUCGUCGAGUGCAAUUGCAGAAGCGUGCUUGACUGUGAGACUUACAAGUCGAACAGGGACGAAAGUCGGGAAUAGUGAUCCGGCGGUGCCGAAUGGAAGGGCCGUCGCUCAACGGAUAAAAGCUACCCUGGGGAUAACAGGCUGAUCUCGCCCAAGAGUUCACAUCGACGGCGAGGUUUGGCACCUCGAUGUCGGCUCAUCGCAUCCUGGAGCUGGAUUCGGUUCCAAGGGUUGGGCUGUCCGCCCAUUAAAGCGGUACGCGAGCUGGGUUCAGAACGUCGUGAGACAGUUCGGUCCCUAUCUGUUGUGGGCGAAGGAGAUCUGCGGAGAGCUGUCCUCAGUACGAGAGGACCGGGAUGGACCUACCGCUGGUGCACCGGUUGUUCCGCCAGGGGCAUAGCCGGGUAGCUAAGUAGGGAAAGGAUAAGCGCUGAAAGCAUCUAAGCACGAAGCCUACUCCAAGAUGAGAUCUCCCAUUCGCAAGAAGUAAGACCCCUUAAAGACGAUAAGGUAGAUAGGCCAGAGAUGGAAGUGCAGUGAUGUACGGAGUUGACUGGUACUAAUCGGUCGAGGACC
rnacentral:rRNA from 1 species